rnacentral:rRNA from 1 species
UACGAAGGGGGCUAGCGUUGUUCGGAAUCACUGGGCGUAAAGGGCGCGUAGGCGGCUGUUCAAGUCGGGGGUGAAAUCCCGUGGCUCAACCACGGAAUGGCCUUCGAUACUGGACGGCUAGAGACCGGAAGAGGUGAGUGGAACUGCGAGUGUAGAGGUGAAAUUCGUAGAUAUUCGCAGGAACACCAGUGGCGAAGGCGGCUCACUGGUCCGGUUCUGACGCUGAGGCGCGAAAGCGUGGGGAGCAAACAGG